rnacentral:tRNA from 1 species
GGGGUUGUGGCUCAGUGGUAGAGCACUCGCCUAGCAUGUGUGAGGCCCUGAGUUCGAUCCUCAGCACCA